rnacentral:lncRNA from 1 species
CCGCGGCGCCGCCGCCGCCCGGGCCCCGGAUGUAGGGGGCGGGCCUCUGCGCGCGCACCGCCCCUCCCCCGCGCGCAGGCGCGCUGGCGGCACGCGAGCCGGCUGACGUGGCCACGGCCGGCGUCCUCUGCGCGGUCCGCUUCCCUUUCGGGAUUCAGAAGGGACCCUUUGGGAGGUGCUUCUCGGACCCCUUGCUCCUGGAGCGAGGAUCGGGCCCCAGGAGGCCUCUUUUUAGCCUGACUGGAAGGCACAGGUAGAAAGUGGAAAGCCUGAGGAGCACAGUGAGGAUCGGAGAGGGUUGAGGAGAAGGCGGAUGAAGAUCUGGAAUAGAGGAAAUGAGAGCUCCUUCUGAGGGUGACGAGCCAAGGGCGGAAG